CAAACGACUCUCGGCAACGGAUAUCUCGGCUCUUGCAUCGAUGAAGAACGUMGCGAAAUGCGAUACUUGGUGUGAAUUGCAGAAUCCCGUGAACCAUCGAGUUUUUGAACGCAAGUUGCGCCCGAUGCCGCUAGGCUGAGGGCACGUCUGCCUGGGCGUCACGC
rnacentral:rRNA from 1 species